rnacentral:rRNA from 1 species
UACGAAGGGGGCUAGCGUUGCUCGGAAUCACUGGGCGUAAAGCGCACGUAGGCGGCUUACUAAGUCAGGGGUGAAAUCCUGGAGCUCAACUCCAGAACUGCCUUUGAUACUGGUGAGCUUGAGUUCGGGAGAGGUGAGUGGAACUGCGAGUGUAGAGGUGAAAUUCGUAGAUAUUCGCAAGAACACCAGUGGCGAAGGCGGCUCACUGGCCCGAUACUGACGCUGAGGUGCGAAAGCGUGGGAGCAACAGG